rnacentral:rRNA from 1 species
AUGGCUCUAAUCUGGAUCAACACUGGUGUUCUUUGCUUGAUGGCACUUUUGAUGGUUUCAACCACUUUAUUGUCGAGUGAAGCGUCAGGGAGGAAGAUAGGAAAGGAAGCUAACAUUGGCGUCGAGGGGCACCGUGAACCCUACACUCCAUGUACGAAUCCUUCAUUUUGUAAUGAUAUCUGCAACAGAGAUGGUUACGGAGGUGGGACCUGCCGUGAUGGUCACUGCGAAUGCAUUAGAUAA